UGUUGUUGUUGUUGUCAGUAACAAACAAAAUGAUACCAAAAAACAAACAUAUCAAUAUCAUUCAUUACAAAUGGAGUUGCAAAUAAAAGGGGUUAAAAGACCAGACUAAUCUGUCAAACAACACAUCACCACUCAGAUUUGCAUUUCCAAAAACUAUACAUUUUUGUCCAUCAUUUCCCCUAAGAUUACCAUCAAACUUCAUUGAUACAACACCCUCAUUACUGUACUUAUUAUGGGUGUGCAAAGAUAAAUAAAAUAAAGAAACUUCACAACAAAGGAUUCAUCAGAUCAGGCAGAUACAGUUGCAUUGGGGAUAACAGGUGCAGGUGAUGCAACGACUUCAGUAGCUGCCUUCUUAUGUGCUGCUGCUUUUGAGGUUGAAGGGCCUGAUUCAAAGUGAUCCCCAAUGUCCAGCGUCUCUGGGAGACUUUCUUGAGUUUCAUCGCUGUAUAUCUACAGGAAGAGAGAUCAUUACAUGAGUCCUGAAGGCUCCUUUACGGCAUUCCGCUCCUUUGUGGCAAAGAAUGGUUUAUGGGAUCUCAAGCAUUCUGGAGAGCAACUCUCUUGGAGGGGAAGUCGCCAUACCCACUUCAUCAGAUCGAGAUUGGACCGUUCCAUGAGUAACUGCUCGUGGUCUGAGGCUUUCCCUAUGGGCAGGUGCCGGUACUUGCGCUUCGAAGGCUCCGACCAUAGACCAUUAAUGUCCUAUUUCAACUCUGAGAGAACAAAGAAAAGAGGCAUGUUCCGGUUCAAUAGAGCUCUAACGGAACAGGAAGAAGUUACUCAGAUAAUUGAUACAGCUUGGAACGCUAGGCCACUAGAUAAUGUGAUAGCAAAGUUGAAUGCUUGUAGAAGAAGUAUCAUUCAGUGGGCAAAGGAGAAACAGGAACAGAGUACUGCUAUCAUCAAACGCAACCAACAAGCGCUGGAAGAGGCCUUAUCAAGUGCAAUUCCUGAUACCAUUCUCAUCGGAACCAUAAACGAAGAGCUACGACGGGCUUACCUGGCUGAAGAACAAUUCUGGCAGCAACGUAGUCGUAUCCAGUGGCUCAAGCAGGGAGACAGGAACACUGGCUUCUUCCACGCAGCGACAAGAACCAGAAGGAUUAUCAACUCCAUUCCAGUACUAGAAGAUGAUCAGGGCGGUGCAGUUUAUGAGGAGUGUGAUAUUGCUAGAGUAAUAGCUAACUACUUCACCCGCAUUUUCACAGCAAAUGGCAACACCUCCUUUGCUCAAAUUCAAGGACUACUUUCACAUAAAGUUACUCCUGAGAUGAACGCAACUUUGACUGCAAUUCCGAGUGAUUCGGAAAUUCUAGAGGCUGUGAAAUCCAUUAAUGGGAACAAGGCCCCGGGACCAGAUGGUUUCUCGGCGACCUUCUACCAAUCAUAUUGGCAUAUUGUGAGUGAGGAUGUGAUAAGGGAUGUGCGGGAGUUCUUCACCUCAAAUCACCUACACCCGCAGCAGAAUGAGACUCACAUUAGGCUUAUUCCGAAGGUGACAGGAGCUCGUUCAGUCGCUGAGUAUAGACCAAUAGCGUUGUGCAAUACACACUAUAAGAUCAUCGCAAAGAUACUCACCAGAAGACUCAAGCCACUACUGCCAAUGCUUAUAUCCAACACUCAAUCAGCAUUCGUGGCGGGACGUGCAAUCACAGAUAACGUCCUCAUCACGCACGAGACACUACAUUUCUUGCGAACCUCAGAGGCAAAGAAGAGAUGCUCCAUGGCUGUGAAAACAGACAUGAGCAAGGCAUAUGAUAGGAUCGAGUGGAGUUUCGUGAAAGAAGUACUUACUAUGCUCGGGUUCGACACUGUGUGGAUAUCAUGGAUUAUGAUAUGUAUAGAGACAGUGUCUUAUACAUUUCUCAUAAACGGAGCCCCACAGGGUUUUGUCAAACCAUCUCGCGGGCUACGCCAAGGGGAUCCUCUAUCACCGUAUAUCUUCAUUCUUUGCACUGAAGUACUCUCAGCACUAUGCAGUAGAGGACAAGCGGAUGGGUCGCUUCCAGGAGUUCGAGUUGCACGCGGUUGCCCACCAAUUAACCACCUCCUUUUUGCUGACGAUACCAUGUUUUUCUGCAAAUCAAAACCGUCGUGUGUUUUGGCAUUGAUGAAGAUCCUAUCUAUCUAUGAAGAGGCGUCGGGUCAGAAGAUAAAUCCACACAAAUCAGCCAUUACUUUUUCCGCGAAAACACCGGUGGCUGUACGAGACCGAGUGAAACAAACGAUGGAGAUUUAUUUGGAGGGAGGAAUUGGCAAAUAUCUCGGCUUGCCUGAACAGUUUGGACGACGGAAAAGGGAUAUUUUUGCUUCUAUCCUCGAUAGGAUUAGGCAAAAAGCCCACAGCUGGACGGCCAGGUUCCUCUCCGGAGCCGGUAAACAAGUUAUGCUCAAGUCAGUGCUAGCAGCGAUGCCAUGCUAUGCUAUGUCUUGCUUCAAGCUUCCUAUCUCCUUAUGUAAGCAAAUCCAAUCGAUUCUCACUCGCUUCUGGUGGGACGUAAAUCCAGAUAAGAAAAAGAUGUGUUGGAUAGCUUGGGAUUCUAUGGCACAACCAAAAUAUGCGGGAGGUCUUGGAUUCAGAGAUAUUGAAACUUUCAAUGAUUCUUUGCUUGCAAAGAUAGGAUGGCGAUUAAUAAAGGAACCGCAAUCACUCCUGGCCCAAGUACUGUUGGGAAAGUACUCCCGGAAUCAGUCGUUCAUGAACUGCCCAGUUCCAAUCACAGCAUCCCAUGGAUGGAAAAGCAUUCUUGCUGGCAGAGAAAUUCUGAGGAAGGGACUAAGCUGGGUGGUGGGAGAUGGAGAGUCAAUCAGGGCCUGGAGCGACCCAUGGCUCUCCUUUGAUGCUCCUCUCCAACCAAUGGGACCGCCAUCUCAGGCAGACCAAGCUCUAAAGGUUAAAGACCUCCUCUGCCCUCUUACUAAUAAAUGGAAUGUGGAGAAAAUUAGAAGCAUCUUCCCUCAGUAUGAGGACUCUAUUUUGCGUAUAAAGACCAGCUCAACACCAGUGCAGGAUACUAUGGUCUGGUUGAAAGAAAAGUCUGGAGUAUACUCCACAAAAACGGGAUAUGGCUUGGCCAUGACGUCAACCAAGACAAUGGAGGAAUUGAAUGAUCCCGUGCACUGGCUGCGAGAUAUUUGGAACGUUAAGACAAGUCCAAAACUAAAAGAUUUUCUAUGGCGGGUUAUCAGGAAAGCUAUACCAGUCAGCUCCAAUUUAGAAAGAAGAGGAGUCCCAAGUUUUAACUGCAAAAAGUGUGGAGCACAUGAAGAGGACUUACACGUCUUCCUCACCUGUCCACUAGCGGAGGAAGUCUGGAACCUAAGCCCGAUCGCUCGCAGACCUGUGAGUUCCACACCAUCAAUGGCAGAACUGCUUAAACAAGCGUGGAACUCAGUAUCCGGAAAUUGUGGCAUAGGUGGGGUUUUCUCAGGCUAUAAUGCUUCGAACCUUCCAACGCUUUCGGAAGCUCACAGCCAUGUAUCUUCAGCUUUAAUGGCGGAAGCCUUAGCUAUCCAUCGGGCAGUCGCCCUUGCGGUUUAUUCAAACGUCCGAUCCCUGGCAGUUCUCUCCGACUCUCUCUCUCUGGUUAAGCUCUUGAAGAGGGGAGGGACUCAACCUGAACUGUUCGGUAUCAUGUUUGAUAUCUAUCACUUUAUGUCUUUCUUUGAUGCAAUUUCCUUCAGUUUCAUAUCUAGGAACUUUAAUUCAGAUGCUGAUUUGGUGGCAAAAUCAGUUCUGUCUAUGUCUGUAAUGAACUCCAUUCAUGGAGUGUAAACCUUUUUAGUAAUGCAAGUCUGUUCGUUCAAAAAAAAAAAAAAAUCUGUAGAUUUUCUUUUUUUUGUUCAAGAUCUGAACAUAUCUUCAUUUUGGUUUUUAAGAGGUUGAAAUUGAUUCCAAGUGUGAAUGUAGCUUCAGAAAAGGUUGGAUACUGCCUCAGAAUUCAACCCUUUGAAAAUAUCUCUCAUAAAAUGCCAAAACGAGAGACCCCAAAGAAAAUCAAUAAGUCAACAAUAACUUACAAAAAUCAGGUACUCCUGCAUUCAUUCAACUAUUUAUUAAUGAUUUUAUAAUAAAAUAUGGACAUAAUCAUAAUUCCAUUUAGUUGCAUACUGCUAUUUUCCAAGAAAAUAAGGAUUCUCCAAUUUUCAGAAAAUAUAUUUUUACCAACUUUUGUUGUUGUUGUUGUCAGUAACAAACAAAAUGAUACCAAAAAACAAACAUAUCAAUAUCAUUCAUUACAAAUGGAGUUGCAAAUAAAAGGGGUUAAAAGAUCAGACUAAUCUGUCAAACAACACAUCACCACUCAGAUUUGCAUUUCCAAAAACUAUACAUUUUUGUCCAUCAUUUCCCCUAAGAUUACCAUCAAACUUCAUUGAUACAACACCCUCAUUACUGUACUUAUUAUGGGUGUGCAAAGAUAAAUAAAAUAAAGAAACUUCACAACAAAGGAUUCAUCAGAUCAGGCAGAUACAGUUGCAUUGGGGAUAACAGGUGCAGGUGAUGCAACGACUUCAGUAGCUGCCUUCUUAUGUGCUGCUGCUUUUGAGGUUGAAGGGCCUGAUUCAAAGUGAUCCCCAAUGUCCAGCGUCUCUGGGAGACUUUCUUGAGUUUCAUCGCUGUAUAUCUACAGGAAGAGAG
rnacentral:lncRNA from 1 species